UACAGAGGGUGCUAGCGUUGUUCGGAAUCAUUGGGCGUAAAGGGCGUGUAGGCGGUUUGUUAAGUCAUGUGUGAAAUCCCUCGGCUCAACCGGGGAACGACGCAUGAAACUGGCAAGCUAGAGUACCAAAGAGGGGGGGUGGAAUUCCUGGUGUAGCGGUGAAAUGCGCAGAUAUCAGGAGGAACACCGGUGGCGAAGGCGGAUCUCUGGGCCAUUACUGACGCUGAGGAGCGAAAGCGUGGGGAGCGAACAGG
rnacentral:rRNA from 1 species